rnacentral:rRNA from 1 species
CAGUAGCCGCGGGAAUACAGAGGGUGCGAGCGUUAAUCGGAUUUACUGGGCGUAAAGCGUGCGUAGGCGGCUUCUUAAGUCGGAUGUGAAAUCCCUGAGCUUAACUUAGGAAUUGCAUUCGAUACUGGGAAGCUAGAGUAUGGGAGAGGAUGGUAGAAUUCCAGGUGUAGCGGUGAAAUGCGUAGAGAUCUGGAGGAAUACCGAUGGCGAAGGCAGCCAUCUGGCCUAAUACUGACGCUGAGGUACGAAAGCAUGGGGAGCAAACAGGAUUAGAUACCCCAGUAGUCCCUGUCUCUUAUCC